rnacentral:lncRNA from 1 species
ACAUCAUUGAAAAGAGCAGUUGUGCUGAGCCAUUAGCAAGAAACAUUUGUAAAGCAGUGGUCCAGAACAGCACUGGUGCUUCAAGCUGCUCCUGUUGUUUCUCUGCAAGUGUUUA